CCGGACCCCACUGCUAUCGAGGUGGGACUUAGCCAGGCCAGUCGAACGACUCGGACUAUGGCGAGAAGUGGCAAACUGCUCAGUAACACGUAGCUAACCUACCCUCAGGACGGAGACAACCCCGGGAAACUGGGGUUAAUCCCCGAUAGGCGUGGAUUCCUGGAAUGGUGUCACGCCGAAACGUUAACACACCAUGUUUGUGUACACGCCUGAGGAUGGGGCUGCGGCCGAUCAGGCAGUUGGUGAGGUAACGGCUCACCAAACCUUUGACCGGUACGGGCCGUGAGAGCGGUAGCCCGGAGAUGGACACUGAGACAAGGGUCCAGGACCUACGGGUCGCAGCCGGUACGAAACCUCCACAAUGCACGCAAGUGCGAUGGGGUUACCUCGAGUGCCGCCUGAAGAAGGCGGCUUUUCCAUUGUGUAAUGAGCCGUGGGAAUAAGGGGGGGGCAAGACUGGUGUCAGCCGCCGCGGUAACACCAGCCCCCCGAGUGGUGGGGAUGUUUAUUUGGCCUAAAACGUCCGUAGCCAGCUCGGUAAAUCUCUCGUUAAAUCCAGCGUCCUAAGCGUUGGGCUGCGAGAGAGACUGCCAAGCUAGAGGGUGGGAGAGGUCAGCGGUAUUUCUGGGGUAGGGGCGAAAUCCAUUGAUCCCAGGAGGACCACCAGUGGCGAAGGCUGCUGACUAGAACACGCCUGACGGUGAGGGACGAAAGCUGGGGUAGCGAAUCGGAUUAGAUACCCGAGUAGUCCCAGCCGUAAACGAUGCAGGCUAGGUGUUGGGUUGGCCACGUGCCCGACUCAGUGCCACAGGGAAGCCAUUAAGCCUGCUGCCUGGGGAGUACGAUCGCAAGGCUGAAACUUAAAGGAAUUGGCGGGAGAGCAC
rnacentral:rRNA from 1 species